AUUUGGAAUGAUCAUUCCGGUGUUCAUGGAAAUCCUCGUAUCUAAUUUCCUUCAUGAGGGGAAUAAUGAUCACAACUAAGGAUGGGACGAUGUCAAGAAAGGAGGAAAAUUUGAAACGAAGACAUCGGUCAAGAGCAAUUUAUGAUUGUGGUUGUUGUAUUUGUAAUUGUAUAAGACAUGACUUUAAUUGACUUCCAACACUCGAACUUUAUUUAAUAUAAGUUGUAAACUUAUUUAA